AUUGAACGCUGGCGGAAUGCUUUACACAUGCAAGUCGAACGGCAGCACGGGGGCAACCCUGGUGGCGAGUGGCGAACGGGUGAGUAAUACAUCGGAACGUGCCCAGUCGUGGGGGAUAACGUAGCGAAAGUUACGCUAAUACCGCAUACGAUCUACGGAUGAAAGCGGGGGACCGGAAGGCCUCGCGCGAUUGGAGCGGCCGAUGUCAGAUGAGGUAGUUGGCGAGGUAAAGGCUCACCAAGCCGACGAUCUGUAGCUGGUCUGAGAGGACGACCAGCCACACUGGGACUGAGACACGGCCCAGACUCCUACGGGAGGAAGCAGUGGGGAAUUUUGGACAAUGGGCGCAAGCCUGAUCCAGCCAUUCCGCGUGCAGGACGAAGGCCUUCGGGUUGUAAACUGCUUUUGUACGGAACGAAAAGGCUCUGGUUAAUACCUGGGGCUCAUGACGGUACCGUAAGAAUAAGCACCGGCUAACUACGUGCCAGCCGCCGCGGUAA
rnacentral:rRNA from 1 species